GCCGCCCGGCGUCCUCGCCCCAGCAGCCAGAUCUCCUGCAGGGGAGAGUCGUCCUCCCACCGCCGCGGACCCACCAGCGGGAAGGCGGGACACCCGUGCACAGCGAAGCAGGCUCUGUACACAGUGGUCAUUGGCGCACCACACCUCACCCUGCCCGCAGUCUGGAACAACAGUGUGACCGCUUCCAUCUUGGACCAUGAAGAUGCGGGGGACACCCCAGGGAAAGGAAAGCAGCAAGCCGGGAGGUGCCACAGAGCAGAAUUGCCACAGCCCUGACUGCCUACAUCUGGAAUUUUCAGUGAUAGAUGAACUUCUAACUUGGUUGAGCCACUGUUAUUCUGAGUCUCUGUCCCUUGCUGCUGAGCCUACGCCUAACCGACAUCGAAUCUGCUAGCAGGUAGAAGAUGCUCUAGAUUCAAUCUUGUUUCCAAAUUGAUGAAUACAAUGGCUGCUGGCCCAAAGACCCCUUCCCACCAUCAGCAAAGGUGACUGCUACGAUGGCAUUCCAUCUCUCUGUCCCUGUUAAAUUUGAGUAUACCAGUGGGAAGGUUGGAAAACAUUUCUGCCCCUGAAAAUAUAUCAGACACUAUCGCGUGCUGAGGAUUCUACAGGCUGCCUGUGACUAUCAAGAAAACAAUCAAUCUAUGAACCGCAGAGGUGGGUGUGAACACCACUGCCCUGGGGCUGUUUACAUUCCUCCCAGCUGCCAGGUGAAGGCAUCAGAUGGAAGGCGGAGAUGUCAUUCCCUCUUGGCUGCCAGAUGGAGGUGGUCAGGUGACAUUCCUCCCAGCAGCCAGCUGAAGGUGAUCUGAUGGUUUUCUUCCUUGUUUGCAGUCGGCAUUUCUGGAGUUUGCCCCCCAGGUAUGCCAUCCAGGAAGACCACGAGCACAAGGGGGUGAUUGUAGGCAAGACCGAAGAUGUCAGCCCUUGCCAAAGGAAGGUUAUGGAGAGUGGUGGGGUUGUGUACAUGAAUGACCUCCCAGUCUACACUCAGGUGGGUCCCAGGACCAGAGCUCCUCAGCACCUUCCCCAGAUCAGCACCCCAGGGGUCAUGGAACCCAAUGCCUACUCUCCUGAAUCAAUGCCGUACUGAGUUGCUCAGUGGUUUUCUUUUCUUUAAAAAACAAUUUUUUUUAAUUUUUUUGUUUAUUUUUGAGAGAGACCGCAAGCAGAGGAGAGACAGAGGGAGGGAGACAGAGAAUCCGAAGAAGGCUCCAGGCUCUGAGCUGUCAGCACAGAGUCCAGUGCGGGGCUUGAGCUCACGAGCUGCGAGAUUCUGACCUGAGCCGAAGUCAGACACUUAACCGACUGAGCCACCCAGGCGCCCUGCUCAGUGGUUUUCAAACUGUGAUCUGCACAAUCUGAGAUAUUCUGCCCAGAAUGAGCAAAAAUUCAAGCGUUCCCACUUCUAAACUGAAGAGCUCUACUUUUUUUUUUUUUGAUUUUG